CGUCUAAUAGGCAACCUUCAAAUAAUUCAUGAACUUUGUGGUAGAGAAUUCUCUUUAGCAUCUAAAGUGCAUGCUUAAUAAUGAAACACUGAGCUUCCUCUGAAGCUUGCCGCUGAUCUGUGUUUGAGUUUUCUGUGUUUUGUAUAUUGGCACCCAAAGUUCAAAGCAAGUAUAAUCCUGUUUAGUGUUCGUUUCAGGAUUUUGUUUCUUCUCGAGCGCGUUUCUGAGACAAGUCGAUGCGAAGAACAGGCCACUCUGGUUAUUGACGCCAUUGAUACGUAAUGAUGAUGGAGGGACACCUAUGAUGAGACGGUUAAUCUGCAUAUACAUAUAACAUCGUUGGUAGGCAUGUGUUCUGAGAUGGUGGCCUCUGCAUUUCUCUAAGUGAUAGUGGAGGGAAAAACGGCAAAAAGGAAAGAAAAAAAAGCUUUUUCUGAUGAAAAAAAUCCUUUAGACUGACGUUCAGUUAUUCUUCAUUGUUAUUCAAUUUUUCGUUGUUUCAUCAGCUAUAUCAAAACAGUGGAUUUAGGAAAUAUAUACCAUAACCAGAGAUUAUGUUUGUAAUCUCUUGACGGUGAAGUGGUCAGAAGACGUGAAGGAAUGAAGAUUAUUGACUAAAAAAUCUCGCUCACGAAAGGAGGCAAAAGAGUAAACUGUUUUGCUAAUGGCCUUCAAGGAAGAUAAUACCAUGAGACAUACGUCCUCAUGAACGGUGUGAUGAAAUAAUUUCGAUAUGACUUUCGGGGGAAGUGUCAUAGACGACGCCAAUUUUUCCCCGGACUCUUAAGGAAGGCAAAUAUACACUGGGAUCAGUAAGCUGCUCUAAAAAUGAACAUCAAAGUCUUCACAGUUGCAAUGGCGAUAGUAUUUAUCGUUUGUAUUCCUGAGGGAGAUUCAUUUACAGCUGGGGCAGGUGGACUCCCAAAGGGAAAAAGACCAAAAGCAGGAAAACGGCAGCAGAAUCUUGCCCUAUCUUCAGAAGAAAUCGAGUUUUGCAGGGCAGUAGAAGCUUACUGCGCGUCGAAAAAGAGGAACUUUACAUAGAUCUGCUAGAAAUGAAUCCAAAGGUGAACUCGUGUUAGCACAUUGAAUUUUAGGAACUCGAGACAGACUCGAUUGCUUCACUGGCUAUUAAAAUGUUGUAAUAAAACGCACUUAUAAAGUGUAUUCUUGGCUGA